GACAGAGGGGGCGAGCGUUGUCCGGAGUCACUGGGCGUAAAGCGCGCACAGGCGGCAUCCUAAGUGUCGUGUGAAAGCCCCCGGCUCAACCGGGGGAGGCCAUGGCAAACUGGGUCGCUCGAGCUGCGGAGAGGCCCCUCGAAUUGCCGGUGUAGCGGUGAAAUGCGGAGAGAUCGGCAGGAAGGCCAAGGGGGAAGCCAGGGGGCUGGCCGCAGGCUGACGCUGAGGCGCGACAGCGUGGGGAGCAAACCGG
rnacentral:rRNA from 1 species